CCCUUAGAUGUUCUGGGCCGCACACGCGCUACACUGAAGGAGGCAGCGUGUACUCCUGGAUCGAAAGAUUUGGGUAACCCGCGAAUCUCCUUCGUGCUAGGGAUUGAGGUUUGCAAUUAUCCUUCAUGAACGAGGAAUUCCCAGUAAGUGCAAGUCAUAAGCUUGCGCUGACUACGUCCCUGCCCUUUGUACACACCGCCCGUCGCUACUACCGAUUGAAUGAUUUAGUGAGGACUUCAGACUGGGACCGAUGCGGCUUUCGGGCUGCGUCGGUAUUCUGGAAAGAUGUCCAAACUGUAUCAUUUAGAGGAAGUAAAANUCGUANCA
rnacentral:rRNA from 1 species